GGCUGAAAGCAAUGAUGUUGCCAUUCAUCCUUUCACGUAUUCAUUAUGGUCUACAGCUGAGAAGGGCUAUUUGGGGUUUGCUUUGCCUGAUGGUAGCAGAAGAAAACCAAGAGGCCUCUCUACGAAAGCUUGCAGUAAGGAGAAAGUUCUGGAGACUGGGAAGAGCAACACAAAGAUAUUCAGUUGCUUGGUGAGAGCUGCUCUCUGCUUCCAAGGCGGCACCUUGUUGCUGCAUUCUCCAAUGGGAAGGAACGCUGGGUCCUCACAUGACAGAAGGUGGAAAGGGCAUGGGCGACGCGAUGCCACAGUGUGACUUUUUGCAUCUUCAGAAAGGAUUCCCAAGAUUGAGGGUUAAGCAGUGUCUUCCUUCCCAAGGCUUCUGCUGG
rnacentral:lncRNA from 10 species